rnacentral:rRNA from 1 species
GAUGAACGCUGGCGGCGUGCCUAAUACAUGCAAGUCGAGCGAACAGACGAGGAGCUUGCUCCUCUGACGUUAGCGGCGGACGGGUGAGUAACACGUGGAUAACCUACCUAUAAGACUGGGAUAACUUCGGGAAACCGGAGCUAAUACCGGAUAAUAUAUUGAACCGCAUGGUUCAAUAGUGAAAGACGGUUUUGCUGUCACUUAUAGAUGGAUCCGCGCCGCAUUAGCUAGUUGGUAAGGUAACGGCUUACCAAGGCAACGAUGCGUAGCCGACCUGAGAGGGUGAUCAGCCACACUGGAACUGAGACACGGUCCAGACUCCUACGGGAGGCAGCAGUAGGGAAUCUUCCGCAAUGGGCGAUAGCCUGACGGAGCAACGCCGCGUGAGUGAUGAAGGUCUUCGGAUCGUAAAACUCUGUUAUUAGGGAAGAACAAAUGUGUAAGUAACUAUGCACGUCUUGACGGUACCUAAUCAGAAAGCCACGGCUAACUACGUG